UAAUUUGUGAAAACGUUUCGUUCUUGCAAAAAAGGCCCUGCAGUUUGGGGUAUUCAACCCGCGUUCCGACCACACACAGAGCACGGGCGCCUCCUCUCCUUCUCGCCCGAGGAAGUCCUCGCCGCCGCCAGCACCCACGCCGCCUGCUUCCGGCGAGCUCCGGUGCCGCGCAGCACGCCCCCGAGCUCCCCGCGGUCUGCGCCUCCCUCUCCUCCUUCCAGAUUCUCUGCUCCCGGCCUCUACCGCCCGCUUGCAACCCCACCCGGCCCCGUGGCUAGGGUUUCUGGCAGGGCUUCGCCGGCACGUCUCCGGCGGCCCCAGGUUCGUCUCCUUCCUUUCGGUCAAGUCUUGGUGGAGGUGGGGCGGUUCCUAUUUCUCGCCUACCCGUGCACGCGAUCGACAGAAAAAAAAAACCAUCCCCAAUUCGAGCGGCCGCGCCACCCACCGAUGGAUCCGCGGCCUCCCCGCCGCCGGCAUGCCAUCCUCCGCCACGCCGUCCUCCCCGCACCCUGGCCUGCCUCCUCUCCGCCGCACCCUCCUCCCCGCGCCGUCCGAGACUCCGAGUCCUCCGGGCGCGGUUCACCGACGCCGAGGACUAGGCCGCCGUUCUCCGGGCAUGCGCAGGCCGGCUCGAGCGCGCGCCGCCGAACGCAACCAGCUGCUCAACACGCUCCUCGCUGCUGCGGGAAACGGCCGGGAGGAGGAGGAUGCGCGGGAGGCGGGGCAGCGUCAGAAUGAACGUGCUUCGGAUCUGGCCGAGGCUUACGGCGACACGGACGCGGAGGGUCUGGCCGCGGCCGCCGCGCUCCCUCCGGUCACUACCUUCCCAUGAGCUCACUUCCACCCUAGCCUCUCCCCCUUUCCUCUUUGUUGUUUUAACUGAUUCCCAACUGCUUGAUCAAUCCCGCUCCUCUGCUCCUGCAUGAUGGCUUUCUCUGUUCGAUUGCUUAAUUUGGUUGUGUCUUACCUGAACUGCAAGGGAACCAACAUACAUGGCAUGAUGGAUGGAGACCAGUAUAUGUUUUUUUGUUCUGUUCACAUUCUUUCUAAUAGUUUCCAUCGGAUUAUAGCCAUGAGCUUUGAGCAAUAGGCAUAAAUCUGUUGUAAUCAAUCAAAGACAGUGAGAACGUUUACUGAAAUCUUUCGAAGUGGGGAUCCUAUGAAUUUCUUUGGUUGAACGUCCAUCGAUGAUCUCAUCUUAUAGUAACUCACUUUGAAACAUUGUAUUGGUAGUUUUUAUCUUUACACUUUUGCCGUCUAUACAUACUGGAUUGCAUUGUUUAGGACAUGACACAGCGCUGAUGGCUCAUGGCACCCAUGUUUCAGUAUGCAGUCAAGCAGGCAACAAGGGAUCCGUGGGACGAGGCCAAGGUGUACGUGGGCAACCUUCCCUACGACGUUAGCAGCGAGCGCCUCGUGCAGCUCUUCGAGCAGGAUGGCGUCAUCGAGGUCACCGUGUCGAUAUGUGGUAUCGGUGACAGAAGGUGCAUCACACGCUUGGGUAUUUUCUUCUGCAUGAGGUAAAGUACCAAAGGUGUUUUCAAUAUGUAAUUAGCACCCAUACUUAGCAUCAAGCUUUGAUAGAGGGGAUGCUUAGAUGAUUUUUGAUUCUACGGUAUUUAUUUUCUCUAUCUCUGAGCAUCUACACAGGCAACCCGCAUUAUAGAUGAUAUUAGCCUGCUGCGAGUGUCGUUCCUCUAGAUACACACACACACACGCGCGCAUUUUGCCUGGUGAAGGGAAUGCCUCAAAUCAUCGGACCCCUGAUUAUGCGUCAUGUUCGUGCAAGACUGAAACUGACACAAUAGGUUCUAGAUGUAAAUGAUGUCUGCUUUAAUGUGGUGGUUGUGUUGUUGAAGCUCAUAUGGAGUGUUUAUGCAUAACUGAAGUGGCACAUUUAGUUCUGGAAUAUCCAACAGCCUCCAAAACUUCUGAAAGCAAAGAGGUGGAGAACCAUCCUCUAGGCUCUCCUGUACCCCCACAGAUUAUUUUUCUUCCAAAAGUAUUGAUAAACCCAGCAAGUUUUCAGUGCAAUUCCACAUCCAAAUGUUGUUAUUCAGGUUGUCAUCAACUCAUCAUACUAUAUCAGCUUCAAUGUUAAUUUUUUCUCUCAAGUAGUCCAUAAAUAUGUGAACCUGACCACUCAAAACUACUGCAGGGGUAGGAUUUCUGCAGUAUCCCUUGGCUGGUUAAUCUGUUUGGACUAGAAUUUUCUGAAUUGUAGUAAAGCUUGGCAACUACAGAAUACAUUGUCUCGAGGUAUAAUAGCACUUGAUUCUCUAACAAUCGUUGAUUCAUGAAUUGCAGCAGGGUGAACCCAAGGCCCCUCCUGUGAAUCCCAUUGCUUACAAUUAUUUCAUGAUUGAGAUCUUGAAUUUAACAUUUAGUAUUUUCUUGUUUAUUUUCUUUCUUUUGGAGGAGAACAAGAUGCAGCUUGUAAUGUGUGAAUUUACAACUUUAGUUGAAUAAACAGAAUAUAUCAAUUGUAAGUUCAUGUAUAGAAAAUUCAAUCCUUGCAUAGGUUUUGUAUUAUAUAUAGUUAACUCAGUAUAGUUUACAUUUUUCCAUCUUUCUCCGGGAGCUCUUCAGAUAUCAUCUACACCUCAGACAAGUAACAUUAACUUGCUAAAAGCAAGAAAAGUAACACAAGGUUUGCAAGUUUGACAAAGUUUCCCUCCGUUCUUGAAUGUAGCUAUUUUUAUUUUCUUUUUAUUCAGACUGUUGUUGGCAUGUCGACAAAAAUAUUAACUGCACAUUGUUGCUAGCUGUGACGUUUUGUCAAAGUUGAAUAGAAGAAAGUGGAUUUGUAAACAGAGUGACAACGCCAAUUAUUUUUCUCCUGGUGUGCUAGAUCAAAAGGAAAAGGAGGAAGUAUGUUCAUGCACUGGAAGUUUUACUGAGUCAUGAUGCACAUUGAGUUAGUGCUGUGUUUUCCUUUUCUUUUGAGACAAUUGUUGUAUAAUGGAAAAGGUACACUACCGUUGGGGUGAAACCCAUCAUAUUUCUAAUGGUAUAUAACCAAAAUCGGGGUGAGACAAGAUAUUAUACUGAAAGUUUCAGGUUUGCGAGCAUAAAUUGAUUCCUUUUUCCUGUUGCAAUGCACGUGCAAGUUUGGCAUACAACGAUGAUAUCUAAUUGCAUUGUUUCUUAAUUUUUUAUUUCUAUUUUGUUUUUUCCCUAAAAAUAAAUUUCGGAUUGAUGGCGCCCCCUAUUUUUUAUUUCUUUU